GGAUUUUAAAAGUCAGAGCCAUCAUCACCGUGUUGGAAUUUUACUCACAGGCUCAAAGCAAUGGUUGGAGAACGGCUGGAGCCUCAGUAUGGGUCACGGCAAGAAGUCAAAGGUGGGGCCGGCAAGGCGGCUCAACCAGUACAGAAGUUUGUCGCGAAGAUCGCUCAUCUAGAUACAACCACUGGGACCUCCCAUGGAAGGUGAGGACAAACACCGGAGCACUGUCCUCUGACCACCACAUGCUUGCUCUGUCACACAAGCACCUCAAGAAUACAUAACUGGCUGGGUUUGGUGGUGCAUACCUUUAAUCCCAGCACUUGGAAGGCAGAGGCAGGCGGAUCUCUGUGAGUUUGAGGCCAGCCAAAACUACACAGUGAGACCCUAUCACAUAAAAAAAAAAUUUAAGGAGUGUUAAAAAUGUUUCUAAAGAAUAUGAACUAUAUUAGUAUUGGAGGCUCCAGCAGUCAUGAUAUUCUGGCGCAGAUAAUCAUGGGAAUGGGUUGGGGUGAGUGCAGUCUUUCUAGUGUUAUAGGUGAUGAAACAAGACAUGAUACAGGAAGUGUGCACAUGCGCACACACCCACCACAACCACCCUAAGAGCUUUUGCUGCCCAGAGAAGUCCACUGGCCAUCACAAGAAUAUGUGAUUAAACUAACUAAACAGCCAUUUAAAAAUUGUAUUUCUUUAAUACUUUAUGUGCUUGAGUACUUUGCCUGCACAUACAUAUGUGCACCACAUACCACGUGACUGGUGCCUGCUGAGAUAAUGUAUUAACGUUUUUGACAAUGUCAUGUAUGUACAUAAUUUUGGUCACUCUCGCCAUUACUGUCUCACAUCUCUCCCCUACUUCCACUGAGCCUCCACAAGCACCUUUUUUGUUUACAUAAAGGAAGGGAGGCUAUUGCCGCAAACAGAAACAACUGGGAAUGUUUGUUUUCCAUGACAAAAGUCAAGCUUGCAAGUGGAAAUGGAAUUCUGGGGAGGCUCAGGCUGCCAUGCUAAACUUCUAUUCAAGCAGCAGGUAGAGACAUAAAGAGAUGUGUCCUUUCAAAGUUACAGAACGAGCUGUGUCAACAUCUAGAUGCAAAGGAGCUCCUAAAGACAACGAGUUAUGCUACAAGUUAAAUAGACCCAAGAUCCCAGUGUUGACAGGAAGGCUCAAGUACAGAGCACAGAAAGUUCAUGACAUCAGGUUCGCUCUGACUUUAAAGAAAUUGUUGGGGUUGGGGUGUAGCUGAACUGGUGGGGUGCUUGUCUAGCAUGCACAAGGCCCAAAGGCAAUCUUUAACAGCAAAUAAAGCAGGUAUGGCAGCACCCUGUGGCAGGGCAGCCUGUGUGGAGUUGGGAUCAAACCUUUACCUGCUGACGCAUCUUCCUGACACCUACAACUUUGGAAUUUGACUUUAGGUAGCCUUGGGUAGCCUGAAACUUUCUGUGUAGACCAGGCUGGCCUCAACUCCACAGAGAUCUGUCUGUCUGCCUCUGUUUCCUGUGUACUAAGAUUAAAGGCAUAGGCCCAGCAAAAAUGGACUUUUAAAUAAAAUUGGUUCUCCUACCAAGAAAUAUAACAUGUAUUUAUUUAUUUAAAAUAUUUAUUGUUAUUAUGUCUAAGUGUGUGGGGUAUGUGGUAGGAAUAUACAAGUGAAUGCGGGUGCUUGCAGAGGCUGGAGGUGUUGGAUCUCCAUGCAGUGGGAGACAUCUUUAUAGCCACUGGGGAUGGAACUCAGGUCCUCUGGAAGAGCACUUCCUGCUCAUAACUGCAGAGCCAUCUCUCCAGCCCCACAUGUCUUAUUUAUUCUGGGAUUUUUUUUUUUUCAUUCUUCAGUAAGAAACUUUCCCCAUCCUACCACCGUUAGAUCUAAGUUUACUCCUCAGUCAUUUGAAAAGCUAUUGGUUUUUAACAUACUUCAUUCCUCUGUGGAACUUCACGAGUCUGUCAUUAUCUGGCUUGCUUGGGGCUGCUGGAACCAACACUGCAGGUAAUAAAACUAUAGCUGCAAAG
ensembl:lincRNA D230017M19Rik RIKEN cDNA D230017M19 gene